UAAGUUUGACAAUAAGAGGAACCACUUAAAAAUAUUUAUGGUGGUGUCACAAAAUCGGAGGCCACGACUGUUUACUAAAAACACAAUUCAGAGCAAUGAUGAAAAUCAUAGUAUUCUGGAUGAAAUUUGCCCGAUGCCAUUAACAUAAAAGAGGUAAUGGGAAACUGUUACUAAUUGAAAGUCUGGUUAAUAGCGGUCUUAACUAUGAGGAUCCUAAGGUAGCAAAAUCAGUUGGCCAUUAAAUGUGGUCUGGUAUCAAUAGUGUAACGAUGGUCUCACUGUCUCUACAACUUGCUCAGUGAAAUUGAAUUAUCCGUGCAGAUGCGGAUUGCCUCCAGGUGGACGGG
rnacentral:rRNA from 1 species